rnacentral:rRNA from 1 species
ACGCUCGACACCUACGAGGCAGCAGUCGGGAAUAUUGCGCAAUGGAGGAAACUCUGACGCAGUGACGCCGCGUGCAGGAAGAAGGUUUUCGGAUUGUAAACUGCUUUAGACAGGGAAGAAAAAGGACAGUACCUGUAGAAUAAGCUCCGGCUAACUACGUGCCAGCAGCCGCGGUAAUCUGAGCGGGCUGGCAAGGC